rnacentral:rRNA from 1 species
UACAGAGGUCCCGAGCGUUGUUCGGAUUCACUGGGCGUAAAGGGUGCGUAGGUGGUGAGGUAAGUCGGAUGUGAAAUCUCCGAGCUCAACUCGGAAAUGGCAUUGGAAACUACCUUGCUCGAGGGUUGGAGGGGGGACUGGAAUGCUUGGUGUAGCAGUGAAAUGCGUAGAUAUCAAGCGGAACACCAGUGGCGAAGGCGGCGCUCUGGGCCGGAACUGACGCUGAGGAGCGAAAGCGUGGGUAGCAAACAGG